CACCUCAUUGGCCUAGUGGUUAGCGCUUCCGUUUUUGAAUCUCGCGACCCGGGUUCAAUCCCCACUGGGGCCA